rnacentral:lncRNA from 1 species
AAAGGUAUACGUAUAAAGGGUAUUUUAAUUUUAUUGCACCUUGCUGAAAUCGAUGUUUUAUAUACUUCGGUGUCAGGUGGUAUCAAGCUUGAUCAUGAAAUCUUUGAAAGUAUAAACACCAUUCUUGCAUGUGUGUGAACUUACACGCAAACUCACCCAAGGUGCCAGGUACAAUGAUUUUUCACCAACCAGUUCAACGCCGUCUUCUUGACUAUUAUUGGGAGUUUGGGACAUAUUCAGUACUGAAAUCUAGAUGAGUUCACAUCCAGGUUUUUCUUUCAGGUUGCUUUGUAUGUGUUGACUUCUACCCAGCUGCUGAGAUGAACUUCGAUCCAAGACGUUUCAACUUUUUAUAAAGAUGGUUCAAAUAUAUUUUCCCAAAAAGGUCGUCUACCAUCUUCUGCUAUGCAUGCAUUAGUAGUCGUCGU